UCAGCACUUGUACCCAAUUUUUAGGGACCGAUUAAAAGAGUUUCAGAAUGCUAAUUUAGGGGAACAGUAUGGGCGUACAGGUAUGAGAGCGAAUACGAUGGCGUAUGCGAAAAAUGUUGUAUUCAGGCAAUAUUUUGGUAAUUUUGUGCACUUCCAUUAAUAAUUACAUAACCAAUUCCAUUGCACAGUCUCUAAAAAUGCCAUUUUUGAGUACUGCUCAAGACGCAAGAGAACCAAACUUGAUCGUUACGGAGUGGAUGGAUUGAAGGAUCGUUACGGAAAGAACUUUGAAGGCACUCUGGACUCUGGAGUACAUAACCUGGAGUGACCUGGAUCUAUUUGUUCCGAUGUCUUUCGACUAACCCGGAGUUAAUAUUACUUGCUGAAUCUCCACAAGCAGAUAAAAAUACACAGUUACCAAUGUUUUGUCUCUGUAGUUAUUAUUCCGUGAUUCGACCCAUUUCGCUUGAAAAUCCCGAAAAAGCUGCCAACAUGUUGGACGACGACCCGGUUCUUGUUGCCUACGUAAAAAAUCAUGUUAAGAAGCUGAUUCUGGAUUGUUUGAUUGAUUUGAAAAAUUCCGGCUGUGUGGAGUACGAAGAAAAUGAGGGAAGAAGGAAGUUUGAUGAAGACGUCCCGAGUAAAACAGCUUGUAGGAAAAACGUUUGUUUAACGUGUAACUACUGCUAGGUAAACGGAUGUGUGUCAAUUUUAGCUGUCUACUAACUUUUAGAUAACGUUUUUUUGCAAGUUGUUUUACUCGGGCGUAAGUUAACAGUUUAUUUGCCUCGCUUGCCUUGUUGCAUAGAUUUCUUACGUUAUCACACGUUGGCCGAUCGUUAUAUAACGUUUAUUGCUUAAAAACUAAAGGGUGUGUUUAGAUUCCAAACUUUCUCGUUUUCCCAACGUACCUUGGGACCAUUGCGUCAUAUUACUAUUUGAAACACGGCACCAUGCGAAUUCCGCAUGAAAGACUGACACCAAGCACUAAGCUAUCAGAAAUUCUUCUGAUAUUAUCGGACGUCCAAGAAUUCGCGCAGGUGCUAGGGUAGUUCGCCACAAUGAGGAUGCCGAAAAUGGCCUAGUUUCUGGACAAGUGCCGCUGCCCGUUGACACAUCACGACUUACAUGCGAAAGUUUUUCUACUGCUGCAAGUGUAUUUUUCCCGAUAUCAAAUUGCCAUCCUAAUGCAGAAUGCGCAACGGAUCUGAACAGUCAUGUUCUGGAUCAGGUUAUGCGUAUUAUACAAGUAAUAAAAGAGCAAUUAUUCAUACCAGUAAAUACCGAAAAAUGCAGUUAGCACAAAUGGUUGUACAUCGUUUUGCGGAUGGUCUUCUGGUACAAGCAUUGCGGUACGAAGAUACGAAAAGUCGUUUUCAUUGUUUCCGGUCAUUCUGUGUUCAUAACGCACCUUUCUGCUUUUUCAGUAUACAAGAAGGAGUUUAAUAGUCUUACUCGGUUUUGUUCUAUAAUUUGAAUAAGUACAUUUUUAUGUGUAUAAAAGUUGCUGGGACACUUCCUGGAUUGAUUCAUUACACCGCGUUAUCAAAAAAGAAUGAAAACAAUCUACGGACACUUCUGCGAAACAUAUGCCCACCUGGAAGAGGUCACGCUGCUAAAAUUAUUGAGACUAUUCUUUCAUUUCCACUUUUGGAAGUAGAAUUAGGCCUGAAGAAGAAUGUGGAAGAAGAUUCUGGUGAUAAUACUGAUAGCGACACUCGCACCGUAAAUAUUGUUGGCGAUCGAAAUAUUAUGUGUUUGAUGUGGAAUGCGGGGGAACUUACGUGCUGGAGAUUAACUGUGUUUGUACCCGUCUUUUACCACGAAAAAUCCCUGGUAGAAAGGUCGCUACAUCCCGGUUUCAUAAACCUAAGGACGAGGCUGGUGGCGGCUACUCGGUGAAGUGGACAGUGGAGAAUUGUUGGCGAUGAAACGUGUCGGAUUCAUCUCACGCUCACUCAAUUCCUCAUUGCUUUUCUCAGCACCAUCCCAGCCUGGACGGGUGAUAUUGCAUUUUUAUUUGGUUUCCGAUUCAUAUUUUGGUUUGGAUCAACAGAUGGCAGUGCAGUUGCAAGCGGUCGAGCCUCACGUUGGUCUGUGAUAAUUUUAGCUGGUGAUUUUUGUAUGAUUCAGUGAGGUUUGGGACCGAUGGGGUAUUUUUACAGACUUUUAAUACACUAUGACUAUACGAAUGAAUG